GCUGGGCAUGGUGGCAUGUGCCUAUAAUCCUAGCUACUCUGGAGGCUGAGGUGGGAGGAUUGCUUGAGCCCAGGGGUUCGAGGCUGCAGUGAGCCAUGAUGGCACCACUGUACUCCAGCCUGGGCAACAGAACGAGACUCCAUCUCUU
ensembl:misc_RNA Metazoa_SRP Metazoan signal recognition particle RNA